GCCAGGCACUGUAUUCAGAAUCUCUUCGGUCAGUUUGGCUUUUUCAGCCAAGGCACUCAGAACAGCUGUUCUUUCCUACACGAGACAGAGGAAGAGGACUAAAAAAAGGGAAGAAGACUGGGAUACUAGCCAAUAAUAAUAUUAAUAA